AAAUGAUGGGAGACUCUUGGCCCCGAUAAAGAUGUUUUUCAAAAGACCAAAGAGGGUAAAUAACAAAAGCACCCAUGGUGUAAGGUCCAGGCGCUAUUUUUAGGCCGUCCUUCGUGGUUCAGGACAGACGGAAGAUGGAAGAGGUGAUGCUGGCCGCCAGUCCUGCUCCGUUUUGGUCCUCACCCCCGGAAAGCACUGAAUCCUUGAUUGUUUGGUUAAAAACAUCCCAGAGUGGAUUUUGUUGUUAGCUGCUCUUGAUCUUUUAAAAUUUCCUGCAUGUGCUAUUGACUGCACUCCCGGCCUUGAUAGAAAUCCAGACAAAAUUGUCAGCCUGUGAGCUGUGGCUUUGUCAUCAGCAGGCUCAGCCGUUCUGGCGACAGGGGCAGGAGGCUGCGGGGCAGGAAGUCGGGCUGUGAGCCAAGCCUGAAGUGACUGGAGAACAGCCUCAGACCCACCCUGGCCUCUCGUCUCUCCGUUCCUGCUCCUGCACCAGGCGAUGGAUGAUAUUUUUAUGUAAGAAACCGGAGGAGAAAUCCUGCCGCAAGCACAAAACAGCCUUACAC
rnacentral:lncRNA from 1 species